UUCCCAUUAGUGUACCCCAAAACUGUCCUCGUACAUAUCAUCUGGUGGCCUAUGACCCAGAUGGUGAUCAGGUCAGAUGUAGAUAUGGAGCUCAGCAGCAUGUCGAAUGUGCCACAUGUGACCAGCCAAGUGGUUUCCACCUAGAUCAACGUGCCUGCACACUAGACUACAACUAUGCCUCCACAACAGGCGUCUACGGAUUUGAGCUAAUUGUGGAGGACUUCCCAAGGAAACACACCACUCUGGCCUAUACUGAUGGCUCCAGCUCUUACAGAUGCUCUCUGAGUGGUGGAAGACACCAAAGGUCAAUCAACAUGACACCGUACCCAUGGUAUUACCAAAGUACCACAACUGUUCCAUGGUGGCAACAAACUACAUCUGCUUCACCGUGGUGGUGGUGGUGGCAACAGCAACAAUCGACCACCAUUCCACCUACAACUACACCGUGGUGGUGGUGGCAACAACAGCAACAAUCGACCACCACUCCACCUACAACUACACCAUGGUGGUGGUGGCAACAUCAACAGACAACCACUGCUCCACCUACAACGGCCCAGUGGUGGUGGUGGCUGCAGACCACGACCACAACCACAACAACACAGCCACCUCAAGAGUACACAACUUCCAUGGCUUCACAUCAGCGUUCUUAUGAACCUUUCAGCAAGCUCCCUCUGCAAUUCAGUGUUCUCGUUGAUUCAGCUGCUCCUUCCUGCACCGAGGGACAUUACCUACCUCACUUUGUGUCGCCAACUCCACGCAAUGGAGAUGAAAUCCAAGCUACGCCACACCACGAAGUGGAAAUCCGGGUUAAG
rnacentral:lncRNA from 1 species